CCUACGGGCGGCAGCAGUAGGGAAUCUUCCGCAAUGGGGGCAACCCUGAUGCAGCAACGCCGCGUGAGCGAUGAAGUAUUUCGGUAUGUAAAGCUCUGUCGGCAGAGAAGAAAAUGACGGUGCCUAACUGAUAGGCCCCGGAUAACUACGUGCCAGCAGCCGCGGUCAUACGUAGGGGGCAAGCGUUCUCCGGAUUUACUGGGUGAAACGUGAGCGUAGACGGCGGUGCAAGUCUGAUGUGAAGGCCCGGGGCUCAACCCCGGGAGUGCAUUUGGAACUGUGGUGCUAGAGUGCCGGAGAGGAAGGCGGAAUUCCUAGUGUAGCGGUGAAAUGCGUAGAUAUAAGGAGGAACACCAGUGGCGAAGGCGGCUUGCUGGACUAUGACUGACGUUGAGGCUCGAAAGCGUGGGGAGCAAACAGGAUUAGAUACCCGGGUAGUC
rnacentral:rRNA from 1 species